UUGUAAACGUAUUGGAAAGGUAAUGUUCUUCGUGACAUUACGAGGGAAUCCCGUGAGAAUCGGGAACUGUACCCGCAGCUGUAAGUUUCAAAACUUUAGUCUCUACUGCCACUGUCUGUACAUGGAUGGGAAGGCGACGAAAAGGAAACAAGUCAGAAAACCUGCCAACACGUAACUGUUUAU
rnacentral:ncRNA from 1 species